rnacentral:miRNA from 1 species
CAAUUAUGUGUGGUGCCAAUAU